CCUGCCAUUACUUGGAGUCAAGCAAAGAUAUUUAUAUUUUCUACGCUUGAAUGUUAUAUGUAUCUUAAAUGCCCAUGCUGCAGGCUUCAUGGUUAGCCAAAGCCAUAUUGGUGAGUGGCUGAUAAGACAAAAGGCAAUAAAUGCUUAUGCAAUUUCUUGCUUUUAUGUAGGUGGGCAGAACUGAAUAUGUGGAUUGAUCAGGUGCUAGAGCACCAAGAGCAAAAAGGACGGUGUUCAGGUAUGACACUAGCAACGAUGACUGCUAAAAUUUGCACACAACGGUUAAUAUCAAACUUGCUACUGCAGCUCCAUCCAUCGGUAUGUGAAUCCCAUCAAAGUAAUACAGAUGCUAUGGUGUGCAUCCCCGAAGUUAUGGACACCCUUAGGUUCCUGGGUUUGCUAGGCACUAACUGGUCAUUGAGCCGGUGAGGGGCUGUGACUUAACUCCAUAGGUGCACAGUAGAUGGUAAACCAUUGAUCACGCCUGCUUUCUAGAAGUAGAGUAGUGAAGAACCGUUCCUUUCCUCCACGAGGUUUGCUGGAGGAGCUUAGGGUUUCUGUCCUCUCGUCGGCGCCGGUCCAACUCACCUCUGGUGCGUAAGGAAUUGAUCGAACUGUCACUUUCAUUGAUGAUCUAGAGGAUUAAAUACAGAGGGAACGGACGCCAAUGCCACGAAGGGACGCAUCUGCUCGCGGGGGCGUGGGCAUGUUUUGAACGGUUGAACGGUUGCCAGAGGCAAACCGCAUGCUAGUUACAAGGGAGGAUUAUCCCUAAAUAAUGUAAUUUGUUUAAAUCGUAACACUCCCCUAAUCCUCACUUGUCCUUGAGACUGUUUAUCUUUGAAACAUUCUUCUCCAAAACCUUGUGGGAAAAAUUGAGAAGAAAAUAUACAAUA